ensembl:lncRNA
CCACAUUAAAAAUGUGAAUUAUGAGAAUCUGCAGCUCUCGUCUCAUCUUUGAGAAAAAUCUUUUGUAAGGACUGGUGUAAGUGUGCCAACGGAUGCAGAUAUGCCAAUGAAGUCUUCCAGUGUAAAAUAGUGCUAUUGAGAGAGAUACCACCAUGGAACACCUCCUUUUAUUAUCACUGAAAAAACAAGUCAAACCUGGAGCUCACUGAUGAUGUAUCAUCACUGUAGAACAGCAAGGAGUUUCCCAAAGGGAUAUGACAGGAGAAAAACAACACUGAUAACACACUAAUGUUUAUCAUUGCUACUAAGCAGUGUUACACAAAGCCAAGGACAUUCUCAGCAAAAGACCCAAGGAGCUGGGAGAGAACAGGAUUAGGAUAGCUGACUUAAACUGGCCAAAUGGAUAUUCCAUACCAUAUGACAUCAUGUGGAAAGAGAAUUUAGAAGGGGGUGGGAGUUCUUCUCACUCUCUUCCAAUGCUCAGGGGCGAGCUGGGCAUUGUUUGGGGGAUGGUGAGCAAAUACUUGUGCAUCACUGUUAUAUACAUUCAUAUAUAUAUACAUAUAGCCAUAACUACUGUAUUUUCCCUUUUCUCUAUCACAGUAAAUAGUUUUAUUUCAACCCAAGAGUUCUACUUUGUUCUGUUUUCCUGAUUCUCUCCUCUAUCCCACUGGGAAGAUGUGGGAAUGAACAACUGAGUGGUGCUGAGCCACCUAUUGGGUUAAACCACAACAGUGUGUUUGAUUAAAAAAGAAAAAGCCCAAACUUUUAAAAUGUCUUUUGUUUCCCACAAAACUCAAAUUGUGGACUAAGUAACGAAGAAGGUCCCUUUAAAUUGCCCUUGAAAAUUUAAGAGUUGUCAUUACUCUUCGAGAACAUGCUUAAGAACAGUCAUUCAUGAACAUGGUAAAAUAGCUGUCUGCUCUCCAAAAGUAUCUCUUUAUAAACAUUGGAGAGCUGUAAUAGUCCUUGAAGUGCUUCAGAGAGUAAUAGAUGGAAGAAUUAAACAGCUUAAAUAUUUACCAGUGGUCAAGAAUGUGCUUAACAUGACAAAGCAAUCACAACAGCUUACCCUCAGGUCCACCCUUAGUUGUAAACUGCAAUGGAAAUGAUGAAACCAGUAUAACUAAUGUGAGUUCUGCCUUCUACAGUCUCCUCAUCUCUCAUUUUUUCUUCAAAACCAUUACUGCUUCCCACAUUAAUCCUUGUUCAAUCCUAGUAAGAGCUCAUCUCCUAUUUUAUCUUCUAUCCCAAAUUACGCUUUUUGAUCAACAGAUUUAUUUUUCUCUAAACUAAGGUGGAGAAAAUAACUGAGUCUAGUCGCAUUUCUUUUCACUUGGUAAAGAUCUAUAUUCUGUGAUAUAUACUAAAGAAACAAAUUGGUACCAUUUUUGUACUUUACACAUCAUCUGUUCUGUGAAAUGUUCCCACACAUAUCUGCAGGGCUCCAUACAUGAGCCAAGGUGCAUCAUAGUUACAUUUCUGAGGAUUUGAGAGACAAUUACUGCUGAGAUCCAGGUAGCGAUACAGUCCCAAGGUGUUGCAUAUGGUAAAGCAUUGCAGUGGCCAGUCAUGUUCUGAAAAUAAAAUGGUAAGACCAGAUAAAUCAUAGUGCUGCAAGGUACUGGGUACCCUUUGCAAAGCUUUGCAGGAGACAUUUUUGAGCUUAUAAUACACCUACAAAUGUGCACACACCCAGAUCCCUGCCUCUUACAAUACUGAGAACUAUCUGAAUCUAAACUUUGGUUUUAAAAAUUAUGUGUGAUUCUUCUGGACUGUGUAAACUUGAAAAUGAAAAACUUAAAAUGAAGAGAUUAUAAACAAUAUAUUUUGAUCUGUUAGAUGGCAAAGAAUAUGAAAUAUCUGUGGGGAACAGGAACUUAGUAUGUUUUUAUAUUGAAAUGGGUCACUAACUCUACCAGCAUCCUAAACAGCACAGUGGAGCCUUGUAAAUAUUUUUGUAGUAUAUGCGAUGGUUGAUAGCAGCACCUACAAAUCAACAUGGUCUUUGAACUGGUAUUUUUAACAGGAACAUACUUCAGAGCAAUUUUUUCUCAGAAUGUCAUCAAUCAAAAAACUUCUUCAUGUAAACAGGAGAAAAUAAAAUACUUCCAUCUGCUUAUUUCCGUCUAUCUUGAAAUUUAGCCCAGUCCAUUUCCCCAGUAAUUCUGUUUUCUCUUCUAGCACACUUUAACACGCCUUAUUCUAAGCAGAGCCUGCAAUUGCUCUGGUGUUUCAUUUUCAAUCUUCUGCUUGAUUUGUGCUGUUGUGUGAUUAAUUUCCUCUAUGAUCACGCAGUUUUGGGCUUAUCUUUGGCUCCUGUCUCAAACUCUAAAGGAACUGGUAGAAUGUAGAUUUGACUGGAAUAUGGGUAAAUAGCAAGACAGACAAUGCACUAACAUCAAUCUAGGAAAGAUCUUGAUCCAAUUUCCAACAGAUACAAUGAACUGAAAUGAAACUCCAGACUUUUGCAAGUAUUUCUAACCUAUUAAUGUUAAUAUUAAUAUAUUUUAUAUAUUAGGAUACAAUAUUAACCUGAUAUUUCUAGCCUUCCAAAUAUAAACAUUUGCUACAUUUCCCUCUCAGUGAAACUGUUUUUCA